rnacentral:rRNA from 1 species
GACCAAGGAGUCUAACAUGUGCGCGAGUCACUGGGAUUUCGGAGAAAACCCAAGGCGAAGUGAAAGCGGGGCGAACCCUUUGCGGUCGCCCGGGGAGGACGGCGUCGGGUCAACCGGCGCCCGCACUCCCGGGGCGCCUNGGMCUCUCGGCCGCAGGCGCACCCGGAGCGUACACGUUGGGACCCGAAAGAUGGUGAACUAUGCCUGGUCAGGACGAAGUCAGGGGAAACCCUGAUGGAGGUCCGCAGCGAUUCUGACGUGCAAAUCGAUCGUCAGAGCUGGGUAUAGGGGCGAAAGACUAAUCGAACCAUCUAGUAGCUGGUUCCCUCCGAAGUUUCCCUCAGGAUAGCUGGCGUCCAUUUCGACCGGGACGAGUCUCAUCCGGUAAAGCGAAUGAUUAGAGGCCUUGGGGCCGAAACGACCUCAACCUAUUCUCAAACUUUAAAUGGGUGAGAUCUCCGGCUUGCUUGGCUGAAGCCGCGAGGUCUGGAUCAGGGUGCCAAGUGGGCCAUUUUU